GAUCUCCUCUCAGACCUGGACUAAAGCAUCCGCCAACUCCUGGACAGUCUGUGGUGCAACGGUGGAUGGAGCGAGACAUGAUGCGCAAUUGGAUUCAUUUCAUGAAUUUAUUCACAAGUACAUAGUAAUAUGCUCUAAAACGCUCUGGUGGCAAACCAACUUUGCUGACCUGUUUCCAAUCGUCCACAUGGCUGGGAGAACCUAUUCACGUAAGUAAAUACAUUUAAAAAAUCAUAUGUAUUACUAGUUAACUAGCUACAGUGCAGGCUAACUCAAAUGAGCUGCUAAUGUAGCUAACUUGCUAUCUGGCCAACUUUACAUACUUUAUAGAUAGCUAGCUAAGUGAAUUAAAUAUCACCAGAUAACUAGCUUAUAUGAAGUUAUCUUGAUGUAUGUAUCACUGUAAUAAUAAAAAAUAAACUACAAAUGCAUUUGUAGGUAGCUAGCUAACAGCCAUGGAGGAGGGUGAAAGGGUAUCAGCCCCAACUGUCAAAGUGAGAGAGUAGGCUAUUUUGGAUAGGGCAGGUACUUUUGUGUAGUUCCAGUCCAUAGAAGUGAGGCCGGAGAUAAUAGUAACAUAAUAUUCAGUGAGGUCUUAAUUUGAGUAUAAUGAAGUCUAUUUCUUGUGAGGUUUUCUGUCCUCAGAAACAGAGAGCUGUGAAAGCCUGUCUGCAGAUGAAGAGGUCUCAAUGAAGAGCAGUGGUUCUCAGUCCUGGUCCUGGGAACUCAAUGGGGAGCACUUUUUUUUUUUUCCUUAGCACUGCACAGCUGACUCAAAUGUUUUAUUUUACCUUUAUUUAACUAGGCAAGUCCAUUAAGAACAUAUUUAUAUUUACAAUGAUGGCCUAGGGACAGUGGGUAAAAUUAUCAACUCAUCAUCAAGCUUCAAGUGAUAUUUAUUUAUUAAUUUGUGAUGCUAUCCUUGAUAUGAUCCUGCUAUUGUCACAUGGACAUGUGUAUGCACAUGCAUCUAUCUAUCCAAUGUUAUCAUGAUUUUUUAUGAGGGAUAUUAUACUUUAGUAGUCCACAAUGACCUGGUGAUGUAAAAGUCUAAUAACAUUAUCUUCCAUAAUCCUACAGAUGCCUUGUAACUGGAUAUUCCUUCAAAAUGAUUCCCUACAGUUAUCGUGUAGGGCACUGCAAGGUUGGGUGACCAGGGCCAACUGGGACUGCCUCUUGGGGGAAUUCAGGCAUGUGAAGGCUACCUGUGUCCUGCAUAUCUUCAUGAGGAUGGACACGAGGACCAAGUCUGCUGAUCUGUAGGAUGUUUCAAGGAUGGGGUCCAACAACGCAGCAAGAGAGGCAAUCUGUGUGUGUGAGAUCUUCACCUCCUACUUCUUCGAAGAGGGUGCUGUUCCCUGGCAACACCAGACUACACUAUGCACAACCAACGGCUCUUUUAAGAGCCAUCCACAUUGCAAUAAGAGUAUUCUUCCAUUUACUUAGCUAUGUCAACUGCAGUUCCCAGUUUAUAUCCCUUUUGAUUCCUACUUCUCUGGUGAGGGUGCUGCUUAGGUAAGGGUGGGAUGUCUGUAAAAAAAAACUGGCUAUUUUAAGUAGUAGAAAGAGGAGGAAGGGAAGUGCUACUAAGGUACACAAUAGUACAUUUUGGUAGAUAGGUGUUCUUUGGUAAAAGGGGUAAAUUGGUCAUCAAAAAGAAAGGAAGACCAAGGCACUCUUCCUAUAAUUAAUUUAAAUGCCUUUAUUAGUAUGGCAUGUUCAAUAGAAACAAAGAUUUUUUUUAAACCGAAGCGUUUCGGCAGCAUGGCCUCCGUCAGGGAGUACAAAAAAAGGAAUAUAAUGUCCUCUUUUGAACAGCUUUUCCAAUUAGCCCUAAUUGGAAGAGGGAGUGGUUACAACAUUGAUUAGACACACCUAGUAAGCAAUACUAUACACAUUAAAAGGUGAAAUACAGUAGCUAAGUUAUCAUAAAAAUACAACUCCAAGCUAGAAGUAUCAGAAGACUAAAAGGUAGUUCUAACCUUAAAUAUGACUGGGAGAAGUGUCAAGAAUAAGAAGGCAAUAUAUUCCAUAGUACACUAGAACAACAACAGUCUAACCAUUGCUGAGGGCAAAUUAAGCUAAAUGUCCACUGGAUGACAGCAAAUGAACCCAUCACAACCCUACAGGAAGGGUGAGAAAUCCAUAUCUUCAUUUAAACCAGGGUAUUUAGUGGCCUGUAGUUUGUAAAUCCAUAUCUUCAUUUAAACCAGGGUAUUUAGUGGCCUGUAGUUUGUAAAUCCAUAUCUUCAUUUAAACCAGGGUAUUUAGUGGCCUGUAGUUUGUAAAUCCAUAUCUUCAUUUAAACCAGGGUAUUUAGUGGCCUGUAGUUUGUAAAUCCAUAUCUUCAUUUAAACCAGAGUAUUGAGUGGCCUGUAGUUUGUAAAUCCAUAUCUUCAUUUAAACCAGGGUAUUGAGUGGCCUGUAGUUUGUAAAUCCAUAUCUUCAUUUAAACCAGGGUAUUUAGUGGCCUGUAGUUUGUAAAUCCAUAUCUUCAUUUAAACCAGGGUAUUUAGUGGCCUGUAGUUUGUAAAUCCAUAUCUUCAUUUAAACCAGGGUAUUUAGUGGCCUGUAGUUUGUAAAUCCAAAAACUUUCCCUUUGGUUUAACUGUUUAAGAUGGUUCCCUUUUCUAAUAGAGGCUAUUUUAAGUCACCAAUAUUGAAAUAGUGUAGAACAAUUAGACUCCUUAUAACCCACACCUACACACUCAUGUAUCAAUCAAUCUGAUUGAUGGAUUGUGUUGUGUAAUAUGCAGGCUCAGGUGUAGAACUGUGGCUCCUUCCACUUUCAAAGAAUAAGGAAGAGGGCCAACCAUGGAGAAUAGUAAGACACGUCAUUAUUUCUAUAACUACGCUAUAUUGUUUAUUCUUGUGUUUCUGUGCAUGUUUUACAGCAUAAAGUACUCUGCAGCCACUUAGUGUGGACACCAGGUUAUUUCAGCUGUGUUGGUGAACCCCUCCCGCAUCUGAACUGGCUACAAAGAGGGCACAGCAUGAUCAGAGGUAUGUUUUGAUGUGAGAGAGGAUGCCAACCCCCAGUCCCGCCAUCGCUACCUCACUCGCUCUUCAAAUAACCUGCUUAGGAGACACCAAUAGAAACACACUGUCUUCCCUGCUCCUCUGUUCUUACCUCUUUCCCUUCCACACCUCUCUCAUCACCUCCUUUCUUCCUGUUUUUAUAAUGCACAAGAUUGAACUUGUAUAUAUAAUAUUACAAUUAUAUUUAUAAUGCAUGUAUUAUGUAUUUAUAACACUUGGAUAAUGAACUUCUUUCAAUAAAGCGUUUC